GAUGAACGCUGGCGGCGCGCCUAACACAUGCAAGUCGAACGAUUAAAGCACCUUCGGGUGUGUAUAAAGUGGCGAACGGCUGAGUAACACGUGGGCAACCGGCCCCUUUCAUUGGGAUAGCCACGGGAAACCGUGGAUAAUACCGAAUACUUCGAGACUUCCGCAUGGAAGACUCGAGAAAGCUCCGGCGGAGAGGGAUGGGCCCGCGGCCUGUUAGCUUGUUGGUGGGGUAACGGCCUACCAAGGCAAUGAUGGGUAGCUGGGUUGAGAGACCGACCAGCCAGAUUGGGACUGAGACACGGCCCAGACUCCUACGGGAGGCAGCAGUGGGGAAUCUUGCACAAUGGGCGAAAGCCUGAUGCAGCGACGCCGCGUGCGGGAUGAAGGCCUUCGGGUUGUAAACCGCUUUCAGCAGGGACGAGGCGAAAGUGACGGUACCUGCAGAAGAAGCCCCGGCUAACUACGUG
rnacentral:rRNA from 1 species